AUCUCUAUCUGGAGGUCAUCCCUCUUGGAACACUUCAGUGAGCCCAUGACACAGGAGUGUAGGAAAGGACCGCCUUUGUCACAGUCCAUUCCUUCAAAAUAGGAAAUCACUGCUCGGCUUCACUAGAACUUGCUGGUUCACCGAGAUUGGAACAUUUUGCACAGAGUGUUUUCAUUUCAGCAGAGCUGACUUGGGCUCUGACAGAUUCCUGCUGGGUUUCUGGCUCCCUCUCCUGUCUCAGCCUUUGGCAUGUUGCCUGGCAGGGUGACAGCAAUAGGGAUCUUGACAAACUAGGGAAUUUGGCACCUGUGUUCAUCACACCUUGGCAGGUCAAACUUGCAAUCCGUUUAAGGCUUACGAUUCCAAUGGCACUUGAUAGGUGAAGUGCCCUGGACUGAGUGCUCAUUUUUUCUUUUAAUACAUGGGGUGAGAAUGCAACCAAUAUGAAUGCCAUGGCCAUCAUGGUUUCUAAAUAGCUUUGCAGAAAGGCAGACGGGAAAAUCUUGAGUCUAAGAAGUUUUCAUGUCUUGUAAAGUGGGUUAAUGUGCCAAGCUAUCGUAUCUGGAAAGAUUUUUUGUUUCUCGGAGAGAAAAAUAAAUAUGCAUUAUUUUUACUGAAUUAAAAAUAUUUUAUUUGACAUGGUUGUUGCUCAUUAGCGAUGUCAAAAGCUAAAAAUCCUGAUGCAUUACCAGUGCAAUGUGACUUAUCAGAGUGAUCUAUUUUAUGUCUUUGUCAGUAGCUGAAAAUUAGAUACUCUAAAUCUUGUUAUCACAUAGGAAUUGGAAAAUUCAUGUGUGAGAUGGAUCAAAUGUAAUGUAGAAGGUUUUUUUCUCUAAUGCUUUCCAUGUCUGAUAGGUUUUUAUGACCAGGCUGUCCUGUUUUGGCUGAAGGUGUUGAAGAGGAUAAAGGAACAAGCUGCUAAGACUUGACAAACCACUCAGAAAUGAAAUAAUCUUAGCCUGACUUCAGAAGGGAAGCUGUGGGAUCCUGCAGUAAUUUCUGUGGAUGGGAAAGAACCCACUAGAACUGGCAAAAAAAUAACUGAGCUCCACUGAUAGGGCUGCACUGACUAGUCUGAGUCUUAACAUAUCUGAUCGCUAAGUGAGUUAACUCAGCGUUUCAUAUUGUCAGUUUGCAGAUAGAAACACUACAACACUGUUGUACUGUGGCCACACUCAAGUCUUUACCACUGGCAUUUCCAAUCUGAGCUCUCAUCCCCAGUAAAUACUGACAGAGCACUCAGAGUGAUUUUUUUUUUUCCUUCACACCUUAAAACUCCCAGCAUUUUCUAUGUGUUCUUGAGGAAGCCCACAGCAACCUCUUGCCCAUUUUGCUCUUGUGUGAUGGUUAGAUUGAGAUGUAAAUGCUUUGUGAGCGUUUUCUAAAAGAAUUUGAUUCAGGCAGAUAUCCCCUCUUGAUUAUACAAUUCCAACAUAUUCACAACGUAUUUGCUGUAAGAGAAUGAAAUAAAUUUGUAGCACCAUCUCAUAAAUAUAUCUUCAGAUCCUGUUAGCUUUCAUCAUGUUUUGACCAGCUACCUGCAUUUCUGAUUUCUGUUCAUUUCUUAAUGUCAAGCAAGAAGUG
ensembl:lncRNA